AAUCCAUGGUGUGGGCACUUCUGAAUCAACAUUUUAAAAUACUCCCAUGCUUCGUGAAAUUUUUCUCCUUCUAACUGCUUGAACAUUAAAAUUUUCUUUCUUAGCU
rfam:Gossypium hirsutum cultivar TM-1 chromosome 8, whole genome shotgun sequence